GAUGAACGCUGGCGGCGUGCCUAAUACAUGCAAGUCGAGCGAACAGAUGAGGAGCUUGCUCCUCUGACGUUAGCGGCGGACGGGUGAGUAACACGUGGAUAACCUACCUAUAAGACUGGGAUAACUUCGGGAAACCGGAGCUAAUACCGGAUAAUAUAUUUAACCGCAUGGUUCAAUAGUGAAAGACGGUUUUGCUGUCACUUAUAGAUGUAUCCGCGCCGCAUUAGCUAGUUGGUAAGGUAACGGCUUACCAAGGCAACGAUGCGUAGCCGACCUGAGAGGGUGAUCGGCAACAAUGGAACUGAGAACCGGUCCAGACUCCUACGGGAGGCAGCAGUAGGGAAUCUUCCGCAAAGGGCGAAAGCCUGACGGAGCAACGCCGCGUGAGUGAUGAAGGUCUUCGGAUCGUAAAACUCUGUUAUUAGGGAAGAACAAAUGUGUAAGUAACUAUGCACGUCUUGACGGUACCUAAUCAGAAAGCCACGGCUAACUACGUG
rnacentral:rRNA from 1 species